rnacentral:rRNA from 1 species
AACGAACGCUGGCGGCAGGCUUAACACAUGCAAGUCGAGCGCCCCGCAAGGGGAGCGGCAGACGGGUGAGUAACGCGUGGGAAUCUACCCAUCUCUACGGAAUAACACAUGGAAACGUGUGUUAAUACCGUAUACAUCCUUCGGGAGAAAGAUUUAUCGGAGAUGGAUGAGCCCGCGUUGGAUUAGCUAGUUGGUGGGGUAAAGGCCUACCAAGGCGACGAUCCAUAGCUGGUCUGAGAGGAUGAUCAGCCACACUGGGACUGAGACACGGCCCAGACUCCUACGGGAGGCAGCAGUGGGGAAUAUUGGACAAUGGGCGCAAGCCUGAUCCAGCCAUGCCGCGUGAGUGAUGAAGGCCCUAGGGUUGUAAAGCUCUUUCACCGGUGAAGAUAAUGACGGUAACCGGAGAAGAAGCCCCGGCUAACUUCGUGCCAGCCGCCGCGGUAAAAC